rnacentral:lncRNA from 1 species
AAAAAAACAUAAAAAGUAGAAAGGAAAAAGAAUACACAGGAAUAACUAUGUUUGCUAUUUGCUAUAUUACCUCCUAGUACUAUUUCACAGAGUUAAGAUCAUUUUUAUCUAUAAUCACAAAUCCACUUGAAACAUACAUUCUUUGCUGACCAAGGCUCUUCAUGGACGUUUAUUAGCAUUUACCGCUAAGAACAAAAGCAAACAGCUAUCUGCUGCUUAUGCGCCUCAAUGUUCUAAGUGCUUUACAUAUGUGAACAUAUUUGGUCUUCAGCUCUGCCCUAAGAGGUAGGUAUUAUUAUCUUCAUUUUAAAGAACAGGAAACUGACUUCACAUAAACUAUCUGAGAAUACCAUAACUGACUUGGCCUUCCCGCCCUUCCUUGAUGUUUUGGAUGCUCACAAAUGAUAAAACUGUAACGACCAUAGUUAAUGUUAAGUUCUGAUACUGCACGUUAUUAGCAAACUAAAAAGGGAAGCGCGGUCUUUUUAUUUACUUAUUUUUAAUUUUUUCUUUUUACAGGCACACCUGCAGCGUAUGGAAGUUCCCCAGCUAGGGGUCAAAUUGGAGCUGCAGCUGCAGCCCACACGACAGCCAUGGAUCCAAGCCACAUCUGCGACCUACAGUACAGCUUGUGGCAACACUAGAUCCCUAAUCCACUGAGUGAGCCCAGGAAUUGAACCCGAGUCCUCACAGAGACAACGUCGGGUCCUUACCCUGCCAAGCCACACCAGGAACUCCACACACACAGCCUUUUUAUCAGACAUUGCUGAGUAAGUGGCUGCAAAAAGAAAAGGUAAUAAAAAGCAAGGCCGUUUUUAUACUUUCAAGACUCUUGGACUGACUAUAACACUGAUUCUAAGUCUCAUGGCCAGAAACUCACUGAAUCAUGUUUUUCCUAAAGAACAGUCAUUACUGGUGAUGCCACCUUCCCUCCAUGACCAUAAGAACGGGUGGUACGGUCUUAGGAAAAGGAAACUGUGUCAUGACAAAGCAAAACUACUCCAGUAUGAUCAGUCAGCCAACAGCCAGCUGCAUCAGGAAAUCAUCUAGGUUAACUAUGUUGUUCUGGCAGACCACACUGCCUUUCUACCUUCCAACUAAAGACAACGUUGUCAACUCCUUCAGAAAUGCUUCCCUAGGAGUUCCUUGUGGCGCAGUGGUUAACAAAUCCGACUAGGAACCAUGAGGUUGCAGGUUCGAUCCCUGGCCUUGCUCAGUGAGUUAAGGAUCCGGCGUUGCCGUGAGCUGUGGUGUAGGUUGCAGAUGCAGUUCAGAUCCCCGCGUUGCUGUGGCCCUGGCGUAGCCCAGCGGCUACGACCCCUAACCUGGGAACCUCCAUAUGCUGCGGGUGCGGCCCUAGAAAAGGCGAAAAGACAAAAAGACAAAAAAAAAAAAAAAAAAAAAAAAAAAAGAAAGAAAGAAAAAGAAAUGUUUCUCUAAACUUCGAUGGUAAGACCUCUGUCCCUAUACUAACCAUACCAAAGGUUAGCUAAGUUUCAGUGAGUAGGCAAAUGCGCCUUUACUGCCAGCCUGAUUGUUUAUAGGAAUAAGCCACUGUCCUAUUUUGUCAUAAACACAGCCUUUUGCUCACUACAGAUAGAGUAUUUCUUUUUUAAUGAAGAAAAAAAAAAGUUCCCCCUUGAAGCAAGCUUCCAUCACUCAAAAGAUACCUGGGGCUGAAAUGCCCUUUACCUGCUUUAUUUACAUGAGAAACACGGCAGAAAGAAACUUUAUGCUCUCCACCAUCUAAUUUCUCUGAGCUACAGCCAUUGAUUCUUUGUAAGUUUAUUUAUUCAAAACAACAGCACAAACAAUCCUUUUUUCUUGGGUCAGCAGCUUAGAGAAUUAACAUCAAUCAUCAAAGGAGACGGGGCUGAAAGCAAGAUGGAAGCCCAUUUUCGCAGAGAUUGAUUUUUUAAAGCCAAAACACCCAGGCAUAAGCAGGAGGCUAUUUACCAUUGAAAAGGUUCAACUUGAAAGUCACAGCUAAGAACUGGGCACUCACAGUACUGACCAGCUUCCUUGAAAUCUUAAAAAUUUUUUAAAAAAAAUCACUUACAUUUUUGUUUUUUGAUGGCCUGUGAGAGUUUGAUUACUUCACUUUAUAAAGCCCACCUGAAUAGAUUAAAACAAGAGGAGGGGGCAUUCCACAGCAGAGGGAAGUAAAUCAAUGUUGGUGUUUAUUAUAAUGAUUUUCUAAUGGCUUCUCUACUCUCUUUACUCACUUUGAUGUAUUUUAAAAUGGGAAAAGUUCAUCAAAGACCACUUUGAUUAGAAGCUUAAAUACAUUUAAAUAACUAUCUCUGGCAUGCUUUAAAGGUGAUUUGCUCCAUAAGUCCUAGCAAAAUCAUUCUUUGAAAACCUUGAUUUGCUCCUUGCUAGGCAUGGAGCUCAAUUAUUUUUCCUUGCAAGGUGGGGGUAGAGGGUUCCUGUCUGAAAAUGAAGUCAGAAGGGUCAGUAUUCCCGAGACUAAGAACUGCAAAAAGUAAUUGGUUUAUAGCCAUUUUACACCUUGUCGUGUCAGGGGAAUGUGUUUCCUUCCUAUAGCUCUUCUGGAGAUUUAUAUAAGGUGAGGAACGUAUUAGACCAAGCAUGUAUAAACUAUUGGCCUCCUAUUUCGGUAGAAUGUGCUAUAUUCUAUACUUUAGAUAUUUUUAAAGGUCUGCCAUAUUGUUAAAUCAAUUUCAGGAGAAAAUGUGAGAUUUUUCAGCCCAGGGUAUAAGCAAAUAAAGAAAGAUGAAAGAAAGGCCCCAUAUAUCCAGGUUGGUGAGUGGAAAGGACCCUGGUGUUAUCACUAUUUUCUGUCAAAUUGAGACAAAAAAUUUAUUUCAGUUAAGAAGUUGAUAUCAAAGCCAUCAAUCACCCACUUGUCUGAGAAUGAAGUGGGAACAUCCAUUUGCUCUCCAGAUGUAAAAACAAAGAUUUUUAGCCUUUAAGUCACAGGGAUUAUGCUGAGGAAUAAGGGCCAUUCCUUGGAAGGGAGAAAAUAAAUUCAUUAAAUUAAAUCCAUUAAAACCACAAAGGACGUUUACCUAAUUUAAACACACACACACACACACAACUUGACAAUGCGGUAUAAUCUGUUAACCAUUUGGCACGUACUAUUUACUCCCACCCUUAGAUCACAGACAAAUCAGCAAACUAACAGAAGGCAUGUAUUAUUAUCUUUGGCUAUUCUGAGUAAUCUUGUAGCGUCCACGUUCUGCAGGAUGUUGUGCAGUGAGAAAAUGCAAAAUCGAGGAGAAAAACAAAAGGGCUGCCACAAAGAAUGACAGCAAUUUUAACAGAUUAUAAAGCAUGAUAGUUAAUAUAAUGUCUAUGCCCAUCUCUGAGGAUUAGGUGAAAUUCAAGUGAAGCUACCUGCCCCCUCCGCCCCCCGGGCCAGCUCUUGGGCAUAAUCCACCAGCUUCAGGAGGAGACGCUGGAAACCCAAGCCAAAGUCGCUGUCUGCUCCAAAUGGCUGUGCGGUGGCCUCCACAGUGAGAAGCGAUCUCAGAGGCCUUCAGGGACGGGGGGAUGCGUAUGAGAUCACAAUCAGUUGUGAGGGGACCUCAAAGACAACGCUGUUGAUCAAAAUGCUCUGAGACAAGGUACGUUUGAAAGCGUGAGUUGGAACGAAAGUGGCAAAAGGAAGAAAAAGGCUUUGGUGCGCUCUGAAAAUAAAAUUUCCUAAGUGGCGCAUCCAUUCUCAGCAUGAUGGUCCAAUCCCCAAAAAACAAUAUACAGGAGAUAAGCAUCGGACUUUCAGGGGCCGUCGGUGAAAAUGUGUCUUACUUGUCCAAGGUCGGGAGCAUUGAAAAACGUACUCCAAGGCAAAGGCCUGGGUUACUAACCUAAAAUAGAUGGGGGUUCUUUCAAACAAAACACAAGUCCUGAGACUGGUUUGAACCCAAGAAGGAUAAUACAGAAGAAUAUAAAAACAGGACAUCAGAGUGAAAGAAUUAACUUGAGACAGUUCCUGUGUGGCGCAGCAGGUUAAGCAUUCAGCAUUGCAGCAGCUACGGAGCCGGUCACAACUCUAGUGUGAGUUCGAUCCCUGGCCUAAGAACAUCCACACGCCUCAGAGGCGCUGGGCUGGGGGGAGGGAGAAGUAACUUGAGAUCAACGAAGCAGGAAGAGAGAGGGUAGAAGUUAUAAAGAGCUGGUGUGGUGACACAAUGUGGAAAUUUUAAAGGGGAAAAAGAAAAAGAAUGAGACCAGGUGUGGGACUAAAUUUACGAGCUCANAAAAAAAAAAAAAAA